AUAGCCAUAUCACAUUGAAAAUACCAAAUUCACAUAUGAUCACCGAAGUUAAGCAACAUUGAGCCUGGGCAGUACCUAAAUGGGUGGCCACUUGGGAAUACCAAAUGCAGCAAG